UUAAAGAAGAGCCAUUUCACAAGACUGGGAGACCACUAUUACCAUUUCUCUGUAGUGGAAAAAUCAUGGUCGGCCAGCAGGGACAUCUGUGCAUGGCAUCAUAUACCUCUUGCUGUAUUUAAGGAUCAAAAUGAGUUGGUAAGGAACAUUUUACAGCACAUGAGGAACCACACAAUGAAGGACGGCUACUGGAUUGGACUGAAGAAAAGAGCCACUGGGUCAGUCUGGAACUGGGAGGAUGGUACCCAAUAUAAUCCACAGAGAUUUACUUCUAAUAGUCACUCAUCCCAAGGAUGUGCCAUGAUAAGAAGUAACAGCAUCCGAGCUUUUGAUUGCUUAAAAAAAAACAAAUUUAUCUGUAAGAGUAGAAGAGUGAAGAAUUCCACAGGACGAGAAUAAAUGUGGUAAAAAGUGUCCCCUAUUGUUUGCAAUGUCUUUGUCAAUAGUCACAUUUAAACUUUGCUUAUCUAAUUCACAAUUGCAAAUGUCUAAAUGACAAACAAAAAGACAUUUCUCCAUAAAAAUUGGAUGGUAAAUUAUGAAAGAGUUGUCUUUAAAGCCAAUCAUCACAGAUGAGCAAGUUUGAAGGUAUUUUACAGUAAAAAUUGUUUUUUGCUUUAAACACAGCAUACAUUUUUGCUCACAAAGUGCAAACCUGAAGCCCCCAAAUGUCACAGAAAUGUUUAGGGAGCUAAAUAACUUGACGAGAUCAUCUGAGGCCAUCUUUUUAGACACAUUAAUGUCAAGUACUUGUCUGUCAGUUAAAUGGAGGCCUCUUGCUGCAGUUUGUUUGAAGGAGUCCAUCAGAAAAGUUUCUAAAAUUUGUGAGGUUUGUUUUUUCAUUUUAGGAUUUUUAGUUUUAAGUUUUGUAUUUCCUCCUGGUGAUCGCUGAAAUAAUCAACAGUUUAUUCUAAGUUUUGACCAAGUAUCAGUGUCAUUUCAUUGUGAAUAUUUUAGUAGUGUGGUUCAGGAGUUAGUGCUGUUCCAUCACAGCUCCAUUAGCCUUGGUUCAGAUCCUAUCCUGACCAGCUCACUGUUUCUUGUGGUUACUUUGGCUUCCCUCCCAAUUCCAUAGUUGUGUGUUUUUAAGUCAACUGGUCAUUCUAAACUGGCCCAGCAUGACUGACCAUUAGAAUAGGAGUGUUUAUCACAAUGGACUGGCCUGUUCAUGACGGUCACUGAAAUAAUGAGCCUGCUUUACUCUACAACUGGAUUAUGUAAUUUAGCACACAUAUGGAUAAAAGUUCUUUUAUUUUAAUUAAACAUAUAUGCUGAUAAUUAAAGCAGACCUUACAGCUAAUCCUUUAUUCAUUUCUUAUUUCACUUUUAGCUGAUUCUCUCAUUGAUAACUCCUGGCACUGACCUCAGUGCUUCAUUAUUCAGUUCACAAACCUAAAAUGUCUGCCAUUCAUUUGUUCAAUUAAACUGAUGCUGCCCUCAUCAGUGCCAAUACCCCAUUUAUAACUCAGUAGUCAUAUGUGACAUUUCUGUGGGUGCGCAUGUCUCAGUCCAGUCCACCCAAAGCAUUAAGGCCCACUUCUGUUUGCCUCUUAUUGUCAGUUUUUGGAGUUUUUAAACUUUAUGGACUCUGAAAUGCAGAAACCAUUUCUAAAGCUGCACAUUCUCUCACAGCUCAUUUCACAU